rnacentral:lncRNA from 1 species
AGGAUACUAUUGCAAUUAGCUGGAUGGGAGAUGAGCAAGAGACAUUGCUGUUAUUCCACCAACACUGUAGCAGUGGAGGCGGUGAAGAGUUGUUGGAUUUUGAAAGUAAUCUGUAGGAUUCACCGGUGGUUGGAUUUGGGGUGUAAGAGAAAGAGAAGAAUCAAAGAUAACCCCAAGAUGAUUGGCCUGAGUGCCGCACCCCCACACACCCCAAAGGGAGUUACUAUUAACUACGAUGGAGAAUCAGGGGAAAAACUGGUUUUGGAGGAAAGGCUAAGGGAUGGACUUUGGCCCACUUCGGCCACGCAGAUGAGGACAGCACCUACGUGAUGGUGCAUUGUGAAGCUGGACUGAGCACCUUUGAGCUGGGCUAUCUGCUCUUUAUCUUCUUUGUCCCUUAGAACUGUUACCUGAAAGAAAGAAAUACUUGUCUUUUGUGAGCUUUUGCAUUUUGAAAUCGCUUUAUGGCAGCACGGCCUAAUAAAGAUAGCAUAUGUUGUGUUUAAAUGUAGUCUAAAUUUUUAAAAUUCAAGAUCAAGGAAACAAGUAUAUUUUAAAUUAACAUAAUCAAAGUGUCAAACCUAGUACUUAUUUACCCAAUGUGUGUGUUUCAAUAGUAUUUGAAACUACUGUUUGGAAUGGCAAAUGAACUUACCAGUUGAUUUUUCUAACUCCUAUACUUUGCUCACGAAUUGUUCCCAAUAA